UUCCACGCUGCUUACAGACGAAAUGGGGGAAACUUAAUGCUCAAAAUGUGUGCGAGGACCCCACAGAGUGUACUGCAGCAGCCCCGUCCAGCUCUAACGUGUUUGCACAGGGUGAAGAUUGUGCUUGUAGCGGUUGACUGACUGGUAUGAACAACUAAAAAUUCCAGGGCUGCUCUUUUCAUUUUGGGUGACCCAGUGUGCAGCGUUCCAUUGAGUACCGAGGAUUCCCCCUUUGGAAAAGUUCCGCUUCGGAAAAGUUUCCCUUUGGAAAAGUUUGGCAUUCCGGCGUCCUCCAUUCCGUGGAAUGCUCGAACGUGCGUCUGCCUGAGGUGAGGAAAUCGCUGUCGCAUGAACAGGCCGGUCUGACAUCACGGCUAGUUUACGACCUGUCUGUUGGCUGUUCCACUGCCAGAGGCUAAAACUAGAUUAUUCCCUGUGCCAAACCUAUGCCUACUGUACGUAGAAUAUUUUUAUAGGUCUUAAUGAGGUCGCCCAGCUAACUGCUCCGUUCAGUUGAAACUAUCUGGGGACUGUCUUCGGCGUUCUCAAGUGUCAGUCCUGUCUUUGCUGGGUCUGAAAUCUGUGGCCUUAUCUCCAGUUAACUCAUUUUCAGUUACCCCAUGACAAGGCCCUUAAUAGGCUACUGGAACUAUGAAGUGCUGUAUCUUUUUAAUGAACAUUCUGCAACUGACAAGAAUGUGUGUAUGUGUGUGUGUGUGUGUGUCCUAUCAGCUUGAAAUGUUAUUGUUGUUAUCCGAUAUUAAAAUAUGAAAGUAUUUAUGUGAAUCUGGAAAGCUAGUUGGCGUGUAAUUUGAAGAAAUUUUAUGCAAAUAGGUUGAAAUUCGCUUUAGAAAGCUUUUAGCACAUUUGACACUGUAUUUUGCAAUGCGAGGCACCACGUUCAUUUCAUACCGUGCGAAAAGCUUAACAAUUGCAGAGUGACGAACAGAAGGCACCGUAGUUCUAUUAAAAUGGUUCAGCAGACAUAUCUAUUGAUGUAAUUCUGACUUGUAUGGGUUUUCAGAGAAAAUUGUUAACGCGCUAUAUCAAUAAAAAAAAGUCACACAUUGAAA